GAUGAACGCUGGCGGCGUGCCUAAUACAUGCAAGUCGAGCGAACGGACGAGAAGCUUGCUUCUCUGAUGUUAGCGGCGGACGGGUGAGUAACACGUGGAUAACCUACCUAUAAGACUGGGAUAACUUCGGGAAACCGGAGCUAAUACCGGAUAAUAUUUUGAACCGCAUGGUUCAAAAGUGAAAGACGGUCUUGCUGUCACUUAUAGAUGGAUCCGCGCUGCAUUAGCUAGUUGGUAAGGUAACGGCUUACCAAGGCAACGAUGCGUAGCCGACCUGAGAGGGUGAUCGGCCACACUGGAACUGAGACACGGUCCAGACUCCUACGGGAGGCAGCAGUAGGGAAUCUUCCGCAAUGGGCGAAAGCCUGACGGAGCAACGCCGCGUGAGUGAUGAAGGUCUUCGGAUCGUAAAACUCUGUUAUUAGGGAAGAACAAAUGUGUAAGUAACUAUGCACGUCUUGACGGUACCUAAUCAGAAAGCCACGGCUAACUACGUGCCAGCAGCCGCGGUAAUACGUAGGUGGCAAGCGUUAUCCGGAAUUAUUGGGCGUAAAGCGCGCGUAGGCGGUUUUUUAAGUCUGAUGUGAAAGCCCACGGCUCAACCGUGGAGGGUCAUUGGAAACUGGAAAACUUGAGUGCAGAAGAGGAAAGUGGAAUUCCAUGUGUAGCGGUGAAAUGCGCAGAGAUAUGGAGGAACACCAGUGGCGAAGGCGACUUUCUGGUCUGUAACUGACGCUGAUGUGCGAAAGCGUGGGGAUCAAACAGGAUUAGAUACCCUGGUAGUCCACGUCGUAAACGAUGAGUGCUAAGUGUUAGGGGGUUUCCGCCCCUUAGUGCUGCAGCUAACGCAUUAAGCACUCCGCCUGGGGAGUACGACCGCAAGGUUGAAACUCAAAGGAAUUGACGGGGACCCGCACAAGCGGUGGAGCAUGUGGUUUAAUUCGAAGCAACGCGAAGAACCUUACCAAAUCUUGACAUCCUCUGACCCCUCUAGAGAUAGAGUUUUCCCCUUCGGGGGACAGAGUGACAGGUGGUGCAUGGUUGUCGUCAGCUCGUGUCGUGAGAUGUUGGGUUAAGUCCCGCAACGAGCGCAACCCUUAAGCUUAGUUGCCAUCAUUAAGUUGGGCACUCUAAGUUGACUGCCGGUGACAAACCGGAGGAAGGUGGGGAUGACGUCAAAUCAUCAUGCCCCUUAUGAUUUGGGCUACACACGUGCUACAAUGGACAAUACAAAGGGCAGCGAAACCGCGAGGUCAAGCAAAUCCCAUAAAGUUGUUCUCAGUUCGGAUUGUAGUCUGCAACUCCACUAUAUGAAGCUGGAAUCGCUAGUAAUCGAAAAUCAACAUGCUUCGGUGAAUACGUUCCCCGGGCCU
rnacentral:rRNA from 1 species